rnacentral:misc_RNA from 1 species
GUAGAUAAACGAAGCACCCAAUUGAUCAUCAAAAUUAAUUAGUGGAAUAUAGCAGUAACUUCCUCCAAAUAAGCCUGUGGAGAAGAAUGUCAAAUAACCUGUAGCAAUUUUUAAAGCUAAUCACCAAAAUACUAGAUACUUUACAGCAAAAGUAGAACUUUAAACAGAAAAGUUUCUACUUCUUAAAUAGAUGACCAAAAUUGCCAACAUGUCAGCUAAAUAGUCAGAAAUGGUGACAAAAAGAAGCCUGAGCCCAAUGCUUGUGUAACAAGAAACUGUUCAAGAUUCAGAUUAGAGCAUAACAGAACUAAAGAAACUUGUUCAAGCCAACUAGAAAUUGACAACAAAUUUGAAGCAAAUAGCUAUCAUCCAUCUACACUAAAUAAUGGCCAAAUUAAAUCUUGUCAAAUGUUCCUUAUUAACAAGUAAAUUCAUGAUUAUGCCGGUCCUAUUAACUUUUCGUGACGCUGGGUAUGAAAACAACAUGUUUUAGCAAAUGCAUGUAACAUCUGUCCUUGCAGUUGCCACAUCUGUUGAUGUAAUGAAGGAUAGAUAAGACCAUUGAUGGGCAGCAUGGCAGAAUAACCAAACAAAGAUCAAGGUGUUGUGCCAUUCUCUCUUUCUUUAUCAGCCUUAAAUAAUUUAGCAAAAGCUGAACUAAAUAAAAGGCAUAACUAAUUACAUGCAGCACUUUGGCUGUUGUUUGUUUUGCUACUUGGUGAUCCAGCUGCAUUCUUUGCAUUAUGCUGUUUUAUAACAUGUACAAUAGAAACUUGCAAUCCACUUGCAACAUAGACAGAUUCAAAUCCAUCAACCCUAUAGCCAUUUACCUAUUAUUACAAAUAAUUUUUUUUUUUGAAACUGGUAACUUUCUAUGAUUACAAAUAAUAAGGCAAGAAGAAGAGUGCAAUAAAACCCAGAUCCAUUAGGCAUAGCUAGAGAGCUCAGGCAAGCAGCGAUAAUUGUAUAUCUUCUUUUUUUGGGGGUAUUGUCCAUGAAAUUCUUUUAUUCCGAGAGGAACAUAACUACCUUCAUGUUGAAUUAGAAGGAUAAGGAGGUUAGAUAAAAAUGUAAAGCAUACAAGUGUUACAAUAUCAUGCUACAUUAAACAGUAGAUGCACGUUACACAACAACAAUUCAAGUCUAUCACACUCUACAACUAUCUGCCACUCAACACUUGCAGACUAGGUUUAUUUUAAUUUUAGAGCUGAGCUUCCAUGAACAAUAAAAAUCUUCUCAUUUUCAGGCAAUGGAGUAAAGCGCCAAAAUUCCCACCAUCCGAUCCUACAUCUACCUCAUCAUCAGGCACAUCACAAAAAUCUUUCAAUUAAAGAACUGACAUUCUGUUCUGUAGUCUCCAAAGGCCAGUCCAUUAUAACUAAUCAGGAAAAAACUCUCCUGUGGCCUCAGUGUAAACAUUUCUACACAAAAUUCCCAUUUAUCCACAAUACAUUUCAGGAAAACAGUACAGAAACUAGAGAUGUCUGCUCAAAAGUUGAAAGAGUGUAUAGAAGAAGUUCUAAUUCUAUAGGUAGAUACUCAAAACAACAGCAUAGCUUACUAUAUGAUGAGGAAGAGAUGGAAAGGAAAAAUACAAGACAGAAAUAGCUACAGAAAAUGAGAAGCUAUACAAAUACAGCAGUACCUUUUCUUCUCCUCUUCAUCAAGUUUAUUUUUUUCACUGAUACCCUUUUGCUCCUUCGAUCCGAUACUUGAACCAGGUGAUUUACCAAUAGGAGACAAUGAGGUACUCCUACUUCUCUGUCUCCUAUGGUUCCUUGGAGAGCGACUCUUAUGACGUCUGGUGGCUGGAGAACGACUUUUGCGGCGCCUAGGGGACAAUGAACGACUUCGUUUUCUGCUAUAAGCAUAAGGGGAUCUGCUUCUAUCUCUCCUGCUUCUUCUGCUAUGUCUGCGCACCACAGGCGAGGGUGACCGUGAAUAUCUCCUCUUAUAUGCUGGUGACCUCGACCUAGACCUUGAAAUAUCCCUAUCCCUACCUCUACCCAUCUCUUCCUCAAAUAGUUAUAUCUAAAAAGCCAGAAAUUCACCUGCUAUAACAAAGAAAGAAUGGAUCUUUCCCGGAGCAUAACGAGAAAAUAAACCCUAAAAAGUGGAAGGAAGUGAGAUAUAUUUUGUGGGUCUUUUUCAGGGCCGAAUGAAUGAUUGAACUACACACAAAUGGGAGUUUUCUUGUACAAAGCAAAUACACAGAAAGAUGAGAGAUUAUGGAUGGAGUCGCUUGCAAAGGAAGAUGAGCGAUGACUAUACCCAACGAAAAAGGGCCCG